AUUGAACGCUGGCGGCAUGCCUUACACAUGCAAGUCGAACGGUAACAGGUUAAGCUGACGAGUGGCGAACGGGUGAGUAAUGUAUCGGAACGUGCCCAGUCGUGGGGGAUAACUGCUCGAAAGAGCAGCUAAUACCGCAUACGACCUGAGGGUGAAAGCGGGGGAUCGCAAGACCUCGCGCGAUUGGAGAGGCCGAUAGCAGAUUAGGUAGUGGGUGGGGUAAAGGACUACCAAGGCUACGAUCUGUAGCUGGUCUGAGAGGACGACCAGCCACACUGGGACUGAGACACGGCCCAGACUCCUACGGGAGGCAGCAGUGGGGAAUUUUGGACAAUGGACGCAAGUCUGAUCCAGCCAUGCCGCGUGCGGGAAGAAGGCCUUCGGGUUGUAAACCGCUUUUGUCAGGGAAGAAAAGGUUCUGGUUAAUACCUGGGACUCAUGACGGUACCUGAAGAAUAAGCACCGGCUAACUACGUGCCAGCCGCCGCAGUAAAAC
rnacentral:rRNA from 1 species